GCAUAAUAUGAUGUCGAAUGUUUUUAUCAUUCAGUUAUCCCUGUCUGAAAACAAUUGUUGAGAACUUACUAUUCUGAUUUACGC
rnacentral:snoRNA from 1 species